CCUACGGGUGGCAGCAGUGGGGAAUAUUGCACAAUGGGGGGAACCCUGAUGCAGCGACGCCGCGUGGGUGAGGAAGUACUUCGGUAUGUAAAGCUCUAUCAGCAGGGAAGAAAAUGACGGUACCUGUCUAAGAAGCCCCGGCUAACUACGUGGCAGCAGCCGCGGUAACACGGAGGGGGCAAGCGUUAUCCGGAUUUACGGGGUGUAAAGGGGGCGUAGACGGGGUGCCAAGUCUGGAGUGAAAGGCCGGGGCUCAAACCCGGGACUGCAUUGGAAACUGGCAUGCUGGAGUGCCGGAGGGGCAAGCGGAAUGCCUAGUGUAGCGGUGAAAUGCGUAGAUAUUAGGCGGAACACCGAUUGCGAAGGCGGCUUGCUGGACGGUAACUGACGUUGAGGCUCGAAAGCGUGGGGAGCAAACAGGAUUAGAUACCCCAGUAGUC
rnacentral:rRNA from 1 species